rnacentral:rRNA from 1 species
UGCAACCUGAGCUCAGUCGUGACUACCCGCUGAACUACCGCUCGACUAAGCAUAUCACUU